rnacentral:rRNA from 1 species
GACGAACGCUGGCGGCGUGCCUAAUACAUGCAAGUAGAACGCACAGUUUAUACCGUAGCUUGCUACACCAUAGACUGUGAGUUGCGAACGGGUGAGUAACGCGUAGGUAACCUGCCUGGUAGCGGGGGAUAACUAUUGGAAACGAUAGCUACUACCGCAUAAUAUUAAUUAUUGCAUGAUAAUUAAUUUAAAGGUGCAAUUGCACCACUACCAGAUGGACCUGCGUUGUAUUAGCUAGUAGGUGAGGUAACGGCUCACCUAGGCGACGAUACAUAGCCGACCUGAGAGGGUGAUAGGCCACACUGGGACUGAGACACGGCCCAGACUCCUACGGGAGGCAGCAGUAGGGAAGCUUCGGCAAUGGACGAAAGUCUGACCGAGCAACGCCGCGUGAGUGAAGAAGGUUUUCGGAUCGUAAAGCUCUGUUGUAAGAGAAGAACGGGUGUGAGAGUGGAAAGUUCACACUGUGACGGUAUCUUACCAGAAAGGGACGGCUAACUACGUG